ACUUUGCAUGUUUCCUAUGUAAAAAGAAAAGCUUUGGCCAUUAAUAUGGAUUCUGGGAUGUUGUUUUAUUUUUUAAAUGUAAGAGGGGUGAUGAACAUUUAAAUUGGGUUUUAGCAGCUAUACAAUCUUUUUUAUUGGGUUGCCAUUAAAUUUAUUGGUGUUUGAUAUUAAAUUCUUAGGUGGCCUUUGUGUUGGUUUCUUAAAAAUUCUGAGGUAUUAGCCAUAAAGGCUAUCGAGGGUUUCUUUCUCUCUGUUGUAUUUUGCACUGAUCUCUCUCUCAAAAAGAAAAAAUUCAAAGCUUUUCACUCAAAGAACACCGACUCCCCUCUCAUUGCUACUCAUAUAAAAGCAAAAGGCAAUGAAUGAAAGGACUUCACCUUCUCUGCAGAUUUGUUAAAUUGCAAUAAAAAUUACUGCCAUUUUUUCCUCCUCCUGCAUACUUCUUGGGAUUUUUUCCAGCCAUUAAUACAUUUCCUGGCCUCAAUUUACACUCUUCUUCUACCAAUCCUUCAAUUCUAUUUCUUUCUCUCUUUCCACUCUCCCCCCUACCAUGAUUUAAUUAAGCUUUAAUUAGAACCCAUCUUCUCUCCCUUCAUUUCUCCCUUUAUAUAUUUUGCUUUUUCUGCUUCAAUCCCCUCACCACUUUCCCUUCUUUCCAACCCAACUUGAUUUGGUUCCUCAUAAUCGGCGUUAGUUUUAAGGGUUUCAGCGUAGCCUAGCCUAGCCUAGUCCAAGGUUACGUGACCUUUAAGGUUAAUUAUACGUAAAGGGUAGAAGAUGAGUCGCAGGAAUGCUCCGAAGCUUGAGUUGAAGCUGAACCUAUCGCCACCAAGGGCAAGGGUUAAUCCAGGAGUGGAAUCACCAAGCCGAUCAGCUACCAUAUCACCAACGUCUCCUCCAAGCUCAUGCGUGUCGUCAGAGAUGAACCAGGACGUUGAUGCUGCUAACGUCAGAUACUCAAGCAGCCCUGAGGCGACAUCCAUGGUUCUGGUAGGGUGCCCCAGGUGUUUGAUGUACGUUAUGCUUUCAGAGGAUGAUCCUAAAUGCCCCAAAUGUAAGAGCGCCGUUUUACUUGAUUUCCUCCAUGAUACUGCCACCACAACCACCAUCAAGACAAGGAAGGGCUAAGUAGGAACUAGGAAUCACCCCCUCCCCUCCUCCUCUCCUCGGCCUUUUGCUAAUUUUAAUGUUGACUAGUAGAACUGGUCGCUUUUUUAAUUUUUCUUUUUUUUUUUUUUGGGGGGUGUGGCCUAAUCAUAGAACAUAGAUAUGGGCGUUUAUGGGUAGUGGAUGUCGUUGUCGUAGUUUAGGUGUGGGUUUUAGGUUUCUCCCUUCUUUAGCAGAAGACUAUGUAAACUGGUUUAACUGCAGCUGCCCAAAUUUUCUUAUGAAAAAAGUAAAUAUAUUUUAUAUUGUUCGGUGUUUGUUUUUCAUAAUAAAUAAAUCAGAAAAUGGCAUAGAAUACAAGUUGGUGAUGGGGCAGUGACGCAAUGCUAAGCUCAGCUGAGUGAAAAAGAAAGAUGGAUAAAAACCCGAUGACAAAAAGUUUGCGCUCUCUUUUCAUCACUCACUAAAUGCCACCUUUCUGCUGACAUUGGUCUAUUUUGGUAACCCCUUCUCUACUUCUUUGUUCAUUCAAUUUUUUAUUUUUAUGUUCACUCUUUUCAACCCUCUUGGAAUCUUGUACGUCUAGCAUAGGGAAUAUAAAACAGGACAUCAUUUCACUAUGUAAUCAUAAUUUCAGACACAGAAAAAGUAAUGAUGAAGAGAAGAUCAGAUAUAAUAACUUCAAUUUCUCCAAAUAAUCUUAGGAAAAUUGAAAAGAUAAAAACAGUACAGGAGCUCAUAAAUGGGCAGGAAUGCACCAAUUAGGAAGAGAGAUCAGGUAGAACUGAGUAAUCCAUAAGCAGGGAUGCAUAUGUCCCAAUCGAAGUGAAGAUGCCAAACACUGUGUUUACUUGGACUUGAUCGUAUGCGUCUUACAUGGUAUAUUGAAAUGUUCCUAUGUAUCUGAAAGAGCACGAGCCAGAGCCAAAUAAACUGAAAGAUUUAGUUGUUCAUUACUCGUCAGUUUCCGGAUUAGAGACCAACCAAUCACAUAAAUUUAGUCACUGAUCAACACAAAAAAACAAAUCUUAGUUACAACCUGAUGUGUUUAGUCAUUUGCAAACUCAAUGUCAAUUGUAAGUUUGGCUCCAAAUGAAUUCUAUUAAUAAAAACAAUACUCAUUUAAUUUACUAGAA